CGAGUCAGAAGAACUUUAGUGCUCCCUCUGUGAUCUUGCUGUAGGCCUUGGGUUGCUUCGGCUCUCUGACCUCCAUUAACCCAUCUAUGAAGAACAAACCAUCAAUAUACCUGCCACCAUCCUCAUAUAUCUGAGGUUUAGAGUGGUAUGAACAUCCCCUGCUCUGGAAGAGGUCAAUCACUGGAAAACGAAACCCAACAGUCAUUCAAGUCACCGCCUGAAGGGUGGGGUAACCGACUGGAGGUGGUCCCGGGACAAUGGAAGGGGACUCCCACACUGCUUGGGGAAGCUUGACAAGUGUGCCUUCCUCGGGAGAUAAAAACAUAAAAUAGACAAUGGAACGGCUGAAUAAGGAAUAAGGAGGCAAAUAUGGGGACAUCCCCUCCACACCCCAGCCCAGGAGAAAGAAGGAAAGCUUCAAAUG